AAAGAAGGAUCCAGCAGUCUUAAUAUUGUCACGCUCUAUUCCAUCGUCUCCAAAACAGCUGAAAGGCAGGAAGGUGGGAAGAGGAAAAACUGAGCAGAGAAGGGAAAUGGUCUCAGCCUGAAGGUUAUGGAAGAAGCAGAAAGGGAAACCAGGGACUCAGUGCCUUGAGAGUCCUAAGCCAGAAAGGCAAGUUAGAAAUCAUCGUCGUCAUUAUCAUCACCGUCCAGAGAUAGCAGCUGUUGCAGUACUUCAAAACUCUUCAACCUUGCGGUGUUUGUCCCUCUGAUAUGCAAGGCGAUGGAUGCCUCUCUGUCUUGCGUAGGUGAUUUGACCCUUCAAAGCCCAAGGCUGGAGUCUGUAGGAGCCUGGAUUCUGUGAGCUCAGAGAGGAGAGGACUUGAAACCUGGAAGCAAAGUUAGAAGAAGGGAGGCAGAGGAAGAAGAGGAGAAUCUGCAAAUAAGAACUCAGGGAAGAGGGAAGGUGGAGAUAGGUUUAUUUUAUUCUAUUAAAAAGUCUGUUUUCACUGCCAUCUUAAGCUCCUUUACUGUUUAAAGGCACAGCAUUCUUGAUUUGUGUUUGUAUGGACCAUGCCCAUUUUGUUUUCUGUUCGGAUUGUUGCAAUGCCUUCACCCACCUAUGGCCAAAGCAUAAUAAACACAGCUCAGUUUUUA